GGGGAGAUGAGGAAGGACGGGGAGGACGGAGCAGGACGGGGUGGUGGUAUCAGGGCAGGGUGGGGGAAGAUGGGGGGGAUGGGGGAGGACGGAGCAGGACGGGGUGGUGGGACCGGGGCAGGACAGGGCAGGGUGGGGGAAGAUGGGGGGGAUGGGGGGAGGACGGAGCAGGACGGGGUGGUGGGACCGGGGCAGGACAGGGCAGGGUGGGGGAAGAUGGGGGGGAUGGGGGAGGACGGAGCAGGACGGGGUGGUGGGACCGGGGCAGGACAGGGCAGGGUGGGGGAGGAUGAGGAUGAGGAAGGACGGGGAGGACGGAGCAGGACGGGGUGGUGGGACCAGGGCAGGACAGGGCAGGGUGGGGGAGGAUGAGGAAGGACGGGGAGGACGGAGCAGGACAGGGUGGUGGGACUGGAGAGGAGGCAGCAGGAUAGGGGAGGUUGGGGAGGAUGGAAGAAGAUGGGGUGGUUGGACUGGGUAGCCCAGGAGGACGGGAGAAGAAAGGGAAGGAUUGGUGGGGGUGUUGGCUGGCCGGGGAGAACCAGGCAGAACGAGGAGGAGGGAGCAGGACAGGGAAGGAUGGAAGAAGAUGGAGCAGGAUGGGGAAGGAUAGAGCGGCCGGGGAGGACAGGGCAGCUGGCUGGAGGGCGCCUCGCCGGGUGCGUUUGGACUCAUCACUCCCUGUGUGCUUGCAGCCAGCACAUUCCUGCGAUGAAAAAUAAAAACGUUAGAAAACUUGUCCGGUUUAGCAGAACAAACCUACUCUGCUGGGACUCAAGAGUGGACAAGGAGGAUGGAAGUAACAUCUGUAUACAUCUGCUCCGUGUAAAAUGCCAACCUGUCAUCCCCAGGGAGGUGCAUGGGCCCAUGGUGCACAUGUGUGCACCUUGCACCUGCAGCAGGAGGGCCAGGCGUCAGCACCCAGGAAACACUCUCAGGGUGUGCUCAACAGGGCCACUUUGCCAGGGACCAACAAAUAAAAACCUCUAG
rnacentral:lncRNA from 1 species